CGCCGCCACCGCCACCGCCUGGCAGACCGCGGAGGAGUCCGCGCCGCCGAGAGAUGAGGGCCGCGCGCGGCGCUGAGAAAACAGCCUCCUGUCGCCUCCGGCUGCGGGACCUCCGGCCCGGGCACUCGCGCUCGUCCCGGUGCCCGAAGCCCGGCCACGGCGGCCAGGAGGACGGGAAGGGACGCCCCCGCCCCAGGCCAUGGAGCCGCGCGCGCUUGGCGCGAGGCCGUGGAGACUCGGCCGAAGCUGCGGCGACGAGAGGCCGGCAGCGCUAGAUGGAGAGCGGGGCCCAGCGGGCCGGGUCUGGCGGCGGGGACCUGCAGACCCCUGAGACCCCGGAGGAGGAGGUGGCACACCGCCUCCAGCCGACGCCCCGGUCCCGGAGGGACUCGCCGGCGCCCUUUCCCGCGGCUCGCGGACUUCGCUCCGUGAUGAAGUUUUCUCUUGUGUUUUCCCGAGGACUGUUCUCCACGUCUAGGACGCGCAUUCUGGCGGACACACGCAGUUUGCUUUGGGAGAUAACUUGCUUCGCUCCCACCCACAUCUCCUUUCCUUGACUCCUUCCAGUCGGACGUUCCAGAUCACUGAAUGGAGUUUUGAGUUGGACUCUUGUGUCCCUUACGGAAUCGAGCCUAAUCCUGGAGCACUGGGGCUGGAAGGGUUUCUGUAAAUGCAAGUUAGAUAAAAGGAAGACCUCUCGCUGGGGGAUCUAGUGAAUGGCACACAGUCUACCAUCACCGACAGGUUGGGGCGAAGCUGACUCUGCGCUUAGCCUGCCUGGAUGGGGCCCCCGACCUCUCAGGAGAGUCGGGGAUUGCCUAUUGCCUUUGCCCCGUGAAGUUGACAGGCAAGUGACAGGGGGUUGUUUCCAAGCUCUGCAAUUAACCUGGGCUUGUUGCAAGUUAGCCGGUUGAUUGAAUUUGGAAAUUCAAAAAACUGAAUUUUUUUGGUUUAUUAUUGCUUUUGAAGAGAAACUUUUCUCCAGAUUCUCAGAAGAAGGGUAGAUAAAGCCACGGUUGUGUUUUUUUGUCUACAGUGUGAGUUAAGAUACUGUACUGAUCUUAGAACCGUUUGUUGUUCAGUCGCUCAGACGUGUCUGACUCCUUGCGACCCCAUGGACUGCAGCUCGCCAGGCUUCCCUGUCCUUCAGUUCUCCCCGAGUUUGCUCAAACUCAGUCGGGGAUGCCAUCCAGCCAGAGGAAGGUCGUUUUGGGGGAAGACAGGUUUUCCUUGGAGGAAAUCCCUCCAUUUCCCCUGUGGGAGACACCUUGUUUCUGCUGGCCAGGCCUUCUGCCACUUGCAGCCCCUUCCACUGUGGCCAUGUCUGCAUCUGCAGCACACGUCUGGAUGCCUCAGAAGUGGACCAGGGAAUGAUCAGAAGGUACAAAAAGACAGAAUAGUUUUAGACCCUGAAGCUGGGAAAGAUUGAAUGCAGGAGGAGAAGGGGUCGACAGAGGAUGAGAUGGCUGGAUGGCCUCACCGACUCAAUGGACAUGAGUCUGAAUAAACUCCAGGAUUUGGUAAUGUACAGGGAGGCCUGGCAUGCUGUAGUCCAUGGGGUUGCAAAGUGUCGGACAUGACUGAGGGACUGAACUAAACUUAUUGAAUAAGGCAUUUGCUGUUUUGUUCCAUUACCUUCUGUCAUUUUCCAGAUAAUUUCAUAAUUUCAUUUUCCAAAACCUUUUUAUCUUUCUGAGCAAAGAACUAUUCCCAGCGCUCUUUACAGUAUUCCAGGGAAUUGAAGUUUUUUCCAAUAAGAGAAUUUUGUAAUGACUGAAAUAAAUGUAAACCCAAAUGUGCAAUGUCUGAUGAUACGGCUGAUGAAUCAGAACUUCCAAGCCAAGCUGUAACAGUUUUUGCCUAGUCAUCAAAGAAACAUGCAGUCUUGAGUUAUCCUGAUGGAAGAUUAUGUGUUUUGUUGACUAAUUCUAGCCGAUUUUCAUUGAGUGAUGUUUUCAGUUCAACUAAUUGGAAGCGGUAGUUGCUGGAAUUAAUGGUUUGGUUUUCUGAAAGAAACUUAGAAUAGAGGAUGUCCUUUGAAUCCCACCACAUACCUAACAUCUCCUUCUCUGGAUGGAGACCGACAUUUUGUGUGGUUGGUGGUGUUUUGUUUUGCUGGCCCCACAAUCUCUUCCGUUCCACAUUAUUGUACAAUAUUGACUUUUCUUUGUCCAACACAAUUUUAUUUAAAAGCAGAGCAUUCUUUUUUACAUCUCAAUAGAGAAUCCCUUGUGGAAAUGGUCAAGAAGACUUUAUCUAACUUAUGUGAAACCCAAACAUCAAAUUGAUUAAAAUAACCAAGGUGACAAAUUAUUUUCAACACUUGAUUUGGACAUUUUGAGUGUGUCUGCUGUUCCUGAAGACAUAAGUUGAUUGUCUUCAAUUAAUGUCUCCAUCUGAUUGCUGUCAACUUCAACAGGUCUACCAGACCAUGGAUCAUUGUCAGUGAGAAAUCCCAGCACAAAAUUUGAAAACUACUUUUGAUACAUGUGAUCAGUCACUGCACCUUCUCCAUAUACUGCACAAAUC
ensembl:lncRNA